rnacentral:rRNA from 1 species
UCCAGACUCCUACGGGAGGCAGCAGUGAGGAAUAUUGGUCAAUGGACGAGAGUCUGAACCAGCCAAGUAGCGUGAAGGAUGACUGCCCUAUGGGUUGUAAACUUCUUUUAUAAAGGAAUAAAACGAGGCACGUGUGCCUUUUUGCAUGUACUUUAUGAAUAAGGAUCGGCUAACUCCGUGCCAGCAGCCGCGGUCAUACGUAGGAUCCGAGCAUUAUCCGGAGUGACUGGGUGUAAAGAGUUGCGUAGGUGGCAUAAUAAGUAGCUAGUGAAAUCUGGUGGCUCAACCAUUCAGACUAUUAGCUAAACUGUUAAGCUCGAGACCGUUAGGGGUAACUGGAAUUUCUAGUGUAGGAGUGAAAUCCGUAGAUAUUAGAAGGAACACCAAUAGCGUAGGCAGGUUGCUGGGACGGUUCUGACACUAAGGCACGAAAGCGUAGGGAGCAAACGGGAUUAGAUACCCCCGUAC